rnacentral:rRNA from 1 species
GGAAAAAGGGGGGGCCGGCUACACAUGCAAGUCGAGCGGAAACGAGUUAACUGAACCUUCGGGGAACGUUAACGGCGUCGAGCGGCGGACGGGUGAGUAAUGCCUGGGAAAUUGCCCUGAUGUGGGGGAUAACCAUUGGAAACGAUGGCUAAUACCGCAUAAUAGCCCGGUUCUUCGGAAUGGGUCUCAAAGAGGGGGACCUUUUAGGCCUCUCGCGUCAGGAUAUGCCCAGGUGGGAUUAGCUAGUUGGUGAGGUAAUGGCUCACCAAGGCGACGAUCCCUAGCUGGUCUGAGAGGAUGAUCAGCCACACUGGAACUGAGACACGGUCCAGACUCCUACGGGAGGCAGCAGUGGGGAAUAUUGCACAAUGGGCGCAAGCCUGAUGCAGCCAUGCCGCGUGUAUGAAGAAGGCCUUCGGGUUGUAAAGUACUUUCAGCAGUGAGGAAGGUGGGUAUGUUAAUAGCAUACACAUUUGACGUUAGCUGCAGAAGAAGCACCGGCUAACUCCGUGCCAGCAGCCGCGGUAAUACGGAGGGUGCGAGCGUUAAUCGGAAUUACUGGGCGUAAAGCGCAUGCAGGUGGUUUGUUAAGUCAGAUGUGAAAGCCCGGGGCUCAACCUCGGAAUUGCAUCUGAAACUGGCAAACUAGAGUACUGUAGAGGGGGGUAGAAUUUCAGGUGUAGCGGUGAAAUGCGUAGAGAUCUGAAGGAAUACCGGUGGCGAAGGCGGCCCCCUGGACAGAUACUGACACUCAGAUGCGAAAGCGUGGGGAGCAAACAGGAUUAGAUACCCUGGUAGUCCACGCCGUAAACGAUGUCUACUUGGAGGUUGUGGCCUUGAGCCGUGGCUUUCGGAGCUAACGCGUUAAGUAGACCGCCUGGGGAGUACGGUCGCAAGAUUAAAACUCAAAUGAAUUGACGGGGGCCCGCACAAGCGGGUGUAGCAUGUGGUUUAAUUCGAUGCAACGCCGAAGAACCUUACCUACUCUUUGACAUCUACCGGAAGCCAGCGGAAAACGCAGGUGUGCCUUCGGGAAACUGUAAAGACAGG